GCUGCCCCGAAGAUUUAUCAGUAGGCUGGUGACACCCUGUGCAGAAGUCUCUCUCAGUCAGGACACAGCAUGGACAUGAAGGUGUCCGCUCAGCUCCUGGGGCUCCUGCUGCUCUGGCUCCCAGAUACCAGAUGUGACAUCCAGAUGACCCAGUCUCCAUCCUCUCUGUCUGCAUCUGUGGGAGACAGAGUCACCAUCACUUGUCAUGCGAGUCAGAGCAUUAGCAACUGGUUAGCCUGGUAUCAGCAGAAACCAGGGAAAGUUCCUAAGCUCCUGAUCUAUAAGGCAUCCACUUUGCAAUCUGGGGUCCCAUCUCGGUUCAGCGGCAGUGGAUCCGGGACAGAUUUUACUCUCACCAUCAGCAGCCUGCAGCCUGAAGAUGUUGCAACUUAUUACUGUCAGAAGUAUAACAGUGCUCCGUACACUUUCGGCCAAGGGACCAAGCUGGACAUCAAACGAGAUGUGGCUGUGCCAUCUGUCUUCAUCUUCCAGCCAUCUGAGGAGCAGGUGAAAUCUGGAACUGCCUCUGUUGUGUGCAUGCUGAAUGGCUUCUAUCCCAAAGAAGUCAGUGUAAAGUGGAAGGUGGAUGAUGUCGUCCAGUCGAGUAACGUCCAGGAGAGUAUCACAGAGCAGGACAGCAAGGACAACACCUACAGCCUCAGCAGCACCCUGACGCUGAGCAGCACAGACUACCAGAGGCACAACGUCUACGCCUGUGAGGUCACCCAUCAAGGCUUGAGCUCGCCCCUCACGAAGAGCUUCCGUAAAGGAGAGUGUUAGAGGGAGAGGUGCUCCAGGCCCACCACCUGUUCCUCAGUCCCAGCCUCUCCCCCUCCCAUCCUUUGGCCUCUGGCCCUUUUCCCACAAGGGACCUACCCCUAUUGCUGUCCUCCAGCUCAUCUUUCACCUCAUUCCCCUCCUCCUUCUUGGCUUUAAUUAUGCUAAUAUUGGAGGAGAAUGAAUAAAUAAAGUGAAUCUUUGCACA